rnacentral:lncRNA from 1 species
UCAGCAUUUAACAGAUCAAUAGAUGGAAAAUGUAACGGAUGUAUUAUUUUGAAAUAAAAUAGUAUUUAAGGUAUGAAAGUGAAAUUUUUUGAAGAUGUUGUAUGAGAUUGAAAUAGACUCCAAACCUGAGGUAUGAAAAUGUAAUUUACUCUAAAUGAUAAUAUUUUGGGUAAAAGACUGUUUAUUACCCUCAUGUUUCGUGGUUUUCAACAUUUAGUACAUCAAGUUUUUUUCGUCUCAGAUU